UACGGAGGGUGCAAGCGUUAUCCGGAUUCACUGGUUUAAAGGGUGCGUAGGCGGAUAGGUAAGUCCGUGGUGAAAUCCUGCAGCUUAACUGCAGAACUGCCGUGGAUACUAUCUAUCUUGAAUGUCGUGGAGGUUAGCGGAAUAUGUCAUGUAGCGGUGAAAUGCUUAGAUAUGACAUAGAACACCCAGUUGCGAAGGCAGCUAACACGCGAUAUUGACGCUGGAUGCACGAAAGCGUGGGAUCAAACAGG
rnacentral:rRNA from 1 species